UACGUAGGGUGCAAGCGUUAAUCGGAAUUACUGGUCGUAAAGCGUGCGCAGGCGGUUUUGUAAGUCUGUCGUGAAAGCCCCGGGCUCAACCUGGGAAUUGCGAUGGAGACUGCAAGGCUUGAAUCUGGCAGAGGGGGGUAGAAUUCCACGUGUAGCAGUGAAAUGCGUAGAUAUGUGGAGGAACACCGAUGGCGAAGGCAGCCCCCUGGGUCAAGACUGACGCUCAUGCACGAAAGCGUGGGGAGCAAACGGG
rnacentral:rRNA from 1 species